rnacentral:lncRNA from 1 species
AAACAAAAACCAGGAACCUAACGAACCUUUAGAAUAUUCUUCCUGACACAAAACUAAAAUAAAUGAAAUUCCCAGUGAAAGAGUAUCCUGGGAAAACUUGACCCUGUUGGAGUUGUGGAGAUUUUUUUUUGACUCCUGUGAGCAAAUCAAUCUUCACUAGAGAACAAAACCUACAUCACUCCAAGCCAAAAAUAUUUUUCCAACACAAAUUUAUUAUUUAUGUGGAUCCAACCCCACUGUUUUCCCGGGAUAUCAGAGUGGAAACCCCUCUGGAAUCUCAGCUGGAGGCAGGAGGAUCCCGGACAUUUCAACCACCACAAAUAAUUUUAAAUAAAAAUUUAAAUUUAAAUUAAAAUUUAAAUUAAAUUUUUAAUUUAAAUUUAAUAUAUAUUGAAAUUUUAAAUUGUAAAAUUGAUCAUUUUAUUUUCCCCUUCCCCAGGAAGAAGCCUCUCUCCGAAGACGUUUCUCCACAGCACGUCAGGUGCUUCAUUUCCACAGGCACUUGGAUCCCGAAUCUGGGAGCUCCCACCAGCAGCUCCCGAAACCAAUCACAGCUCUGUCCUCGGAUGCCAGGAACAUCCUCCAGGAGCAGAACUCGUCCCUGGCUGCCCCAGAGAGCAGGUGAGCUCACCUUGGGCUGGGAUGGAGGUUAAUUAUAAACAUCCUGAUUAAACUGAUCAAAUUCAUUCACCACCAAAAAUGAACGGUUUCAUUUUGCCGUCGUUCACACCCACGGGAAAGGGAUUUCCCCAUGAUCUUUCCUUUGAAGGGAAGAAGAUGCUGCAAGAAACUCGGUCCAGGUGUAGAAAAGCAGAAUUUGAGUGAGAAAUAACGGUUUUAAAAACUAAUUUAUCACUUGUCACACUCAGAGUUCAUCUCUCUUUACACCAUUCCUGCCCAGUGGCAUUCGGGAGACGUCACAAAAUCUUGAAAAUUCCUCAGGAACUGAAGCAAGGAGCUUGGAAUGUAAAUUCCAGCAGGUGCUGAGCUCUGUGGUGCCUUCACCUCCCUCCCUGAGCCUCGGGUCGCGACAAUUCUCUCUGCCCUGGGUGAUGAACACCCUCAUUUAUUUAUAAAUAAAUAUAACCUGUCCACAGCCGGACA